CGCGGCCUAUCAGCUUGUUGGCGAGGUAACGGCUCACCAAGGCAACGACGGGUAGCUGGUCUGAGAGGAUGGCCAGCCACAUUGGGACUGAGAUACGGCCCAGACUCCUACGGGAGGCAGCAGUGGGGAAUAUUGCACAAUGGGCGCAAGCCUGAUGCAGCGACGCCGCGUGGGGGAUGACGGCCUUCGGGUUGUAAACCUCUUUCACCAUCGGCGAAGCCGGGAGCUUUUGUUUCCGGUGACGGUAGGUGGAGAAGAAGCACCGGCCAACUACGUGCCAGCAGCCGCGGUAAUACGUAGGGUGCGAGCGUUGUCCGGAAUUACUGGGCGUAAAGAGCUCGUAGGUGGUUUGUCGCGUUGUCCGUGAAAUUCCCUGGCUUAACUGGGGGCGUGCGGGCGAUACGGGCAGACUGGAGUACUGCAGGGGAGACUGGAAUUCCUGGUGUAGCGGUGGAAUGCGCAGAUAUCAGGAGGAACACCGGUGGCGAAGGCGGGUCUCUGGGCAGUAACUGACGCUGAGGAGCGAAAGCGUGGGGAGCGAACAGGAUUAGAUACCCUGGUAGUCCACGCCGUAAACGGUGGGUACUAGGUGUGGGUUUCCUUCCUUGGGAUCCGUGCUGUAGCUAACGCAUUAAGUACCCCGCCUGGGAGUACGGA
rnacentral:rRNA from 1 species